UACGUAGGGCGCGAGCGUUGUCCGGAAUUAUUGGGCGUAAAGAGCUUGUAGGCGGUCUGUCGCGUCUGCUGUGAAAAUCCGGGGCUCAACCCCGGACUUGCAGUGGGUACGGGCAGACUAGAGUGUGGUAGGGGAGACUGGAAUUCCUGGUGUAGCGGUGAAAUGCGCAGAUAUCAGGAGGAACACCGAUGGCGAAGGCAGGUCUCUGGGCCGAUACUGACGCUGAGGAGCGAAAGCGUGGGGAGCGAACAGG
rnacentral:rRNA from 1 species